GUCAGGAUGGCUGAGUGAUCUAAGGUGCCAGACUCAAGGCCUGAACAUUCCCCCAUGGGCGUUCUGGUAUCCGAAUGGAGGCGAGGGUUCGAAUCCCACUUCUGACA
rfam:Cricetulus griseus cell line CHO-K1, whole genome shotgun sequence.